rnacentral:rRNA from 1 species
UACGUAGGGGGCAAGCGUUGUUCGGAAUGACUGGGCGUAAAGGGUACGUAGGCGGUGUAGUAAGUUAGAAGUGAAAUACCUAGAGCUUAACUCAGGUGCUGCUUCUAAAACUGCUAUACUUGAGUGCAGUAGAGGAAAGUGGAAUUCCUAGUGUAGCGGUGGAAUGCGUAGAUAUUAGGAGGAACAUCAGUGGCGAAGGCGACUUUCUGGACUGUAACUGACGCUGAGGCACGAAAGUGUGGGGAGCAAACAGG